rnacentral:rRNA from 1 species
UGGGGAAUAUUGGGCAAUGGGGGAAACCCUGACCCAGCGACGCCGCGUGAGGGAAGAAGGCCUUAGGAUCGUAAACCUCUGUUGUGUGGGAAGAAGAGCGUGACGGUACCACACGAGGAAGUCCCGGCUAACUACGUGCCAGCAGCCGCGGUAAUACGUAGGGGACGAGCGUUGUCCGGAUUUACUGAGCGUAAAGGGCGCGUAGGCGGUCAUUUAAGUCAGCUGUGAAAUGGUUUGGCUUAACCGGAUCAUGCGGUUGAAACUGGAUGACUGGAGUGCUGGAGAGGCAAGUGGAAUUCCCAGUGUAGCGGUGAAAUGCGUAGAUAUUGGGAAGAACGCCGAUGGCGAAGGCGACUUGCUGGCCAGCAACUGACGCUGAGGCGCGAGAGCCAGGGGAG